rnacentral:tRNA from 1 species
ACUAUUAUGGCAGAUUUAAUGCAAAAGAUUUAAAAUCUUUUUAUGGUUUUCCUUUUAGUA